CCUACGGGUGGCAGCAGUGGGGAAUAGUGGACAAUGGGGGGAACCCUGAUCCAGCCAUGCCGCGUGUGUGAAGAAGGCCCUCGGGUUGUAAAGCACUUUCAGUGAGGAAGAACGCCUGGUGGUUAAUACCCAUCAGGAAAGACAUCACUCACAGAAGAAGCACCGGCUAACUCCGUGCCAGCAGCCGCGGUAAUACGGAGGGUGCGAGCGUUAAUCGGAAUUACUGGGCGUAAAGCGCGCGUAGGUGGCUUGAUAAGCCGGUUGUGAAAGCCCCGGGCUCAACCUGGGAACGGCAUCCGGAACUGUCAAGCUAGAGUGCAGGAGAGGAAGGUAGAAUUCCCGGUGUAGCGGUGAAAUGCGUAGAGAUCGGGAGGAAUACCAGUGGCGAAGGCGGCCUUCUGGACUGACACUGACACUGAGGUGCGAAAGCGUGGGUAGCAAACAGGAUUAGAUACCCUAGUAGUC
rnacentral:rRNA from 1 species